GACGAACGCUGGCGGCGUGCUUAACACAUGCAAGUCGAACGGAAAGGCCCUGCUUUUGUGGGGUGCUCGAGUGGCGAACGGGUGAGUAACACGUGAGUAACCUGCCCUUGACUUUGAGAUAACUUCAGGAAACUGGGGCUAAUACCGGAUAGGAGCUCCUGCUGCAUGGUGGGGGUUGGAAAGUUUCGGCGGUUGGGGAUGGACUCGCGGCUUAUCAGUUUGUUGGUGGGGUAGUGGCUUACCAAGGCUUUGACGGGUAGCCGGCCUGAGAGGGUGACCGGCCACAUUGGGACUGAGAUACGGCCCAGACUCCUACGGGAGGCAGCAGUGGGGAAUAUUGCACAAUGGGCGGAAGCCUGAUGCAGCAACGCCGCGUGCGGGAUGACGGCCUUCGGGUUGUAAACCGCUUUCGCCUGUGACGAAGCGUGAGUGACGGUAAUGGGUAAAGAAGCACCGGCUAACUACGUG
rnacentral:rRNA from 1 species